AAAAAAAAAUCUAGGAGCCUUCUUCCUUCUUCACCAAAGAAUCCGUAUUCUUCUGGUAAGAAAGUUCUUUUUAUAUCGCUGCGUUUUCACAUUCUACCAAGUAGCCUAUCAUAAGAAAGAACAAAUCUACUAAAUAGUAAAAUGAGGGAUUAUUUCCACUCAUCUGUUGACAGACAUUUCUCUAAAUUGGAUCAAACGAUUAAAGGUAUUAGAAUGACGUCUUGCAGAUCCAGAUCAAAUCAUUUGAAACCUUGAGACUGUUUCUCCUUUGCUUGGAAGGAACCACCAGAAAUAGUUGUAGGUCCUAAUUGCCAAUUAUUCUUACUAAUGUGAAAUUGUUAAUUUGGAUCUUUGAAUAUUUACCAGCUUGAAACUUAACUUGGGGAGCCCAGGAUGGAAGGACCAAGCAGUAGCUCACUUCAUACUAUGCCAUUCAGAGUCUUUUUAAAUGCCUGAAUGGUUCUUUCUAGAAUUGCUUGCACUGAAAAACGGUGAAAACUUUCAGCACCUCACAUUACGAAGAUGGCACUGUUGAAGGUCAAAUUCAACCAGAAGAAACGAGUAAAACUAGCUCAGGGACUAUGGCUCAUGAACUGGUUUUCCGUGUUUGCUGGAAUCACUGUUUUUAGCAUGGGACUGUUCCUCAAAAUCGAACUCCGCAAGCGAAGCGAAGUGAUGGACAAUGCUGAAAGCCAUUUUGUGCCCAAUUCUUUGAUAUUGAUGGGUAUAUUAUCCUGCGCCUUCAAUGGUUUUGCUGGAAAAAUUUGUUACGAUUCUCUGGAUCCCACUAAAUUUGCCAAGUGGAAGCCUUUGCUGAAACCUUACUUGGCAUUGUGUUUCUUUUUUAACAUCCUAAUUUUUUUUGUGGCUCUGAUUUGCUUUCUCAUGCGAGGCUCUCUGGAGAGCACCCUGGCUCACGGGCUCAAGAACAGCAUGAAGUUCUACAGGGACACGGACACCCCGGGAAGGUGCUUCAUGAAGAAGACAAUUGACAUGCUCCAAAUUGAGUUCAAAUGCUGUGGAAACAACGGCUUCAGAGAUUGGUUUGAAAUUCAGUGGAUCAGCAACAGGUACCUGGACUUCAGCUCAAAAGAAGUGAAAGAUCGCAUCAAAAGCAACGUGGAUGGGAGGUACCUGGUAGACGGCGUCCCUUUCAGCUGCUGCAACCCCAGCUCCCCGAGACCCUGCAUCCAGUACCAGAUCACCAACAACUCGGCUCACUACAGCUACGACUACCAAACAGAGGAGCUCAACCUCUGGGGCCGCGGCUGCAGGGAGGCCCUCCUGCACUACUAUAGCAGCAUGAUGAGCUCCAUGGGCGCUGUUGUCCUCCUCGUCUGGCUUUUCGAGAUGUCCGUGAUGGUCGGCCUGCGGCUGUUGCACACCUCCCUAGAGAGCAUUGCAAAUCCCGAAGACCCCGAAUGCGAAAGCGAAGGGUGGAUUCUAGAGAACAGCCUGAAAGACACUUUCAAGUCCACCUUGGAGAGUUUGAAAAAGAUUGGUAAGUUCAAUCAGGUGGAAGCAGACGCUGAAGGGGCUGAAGGAGAGGAAGGUGGAAAGACUCCAGCCAUCACAACGGUCAGCUGAGCUUCUAAGUGAUGUGGACUUCUAUCAAAGAGGAAUGAAAAAACUGAGAAUUGUGAAUAUCUGCUUUUUAAAAGCUGUAUAUCAACCACCAAAAUACACAUUUCUACACACGCUUUUUUAUAUAUGAUCCUAGCAAACGGAUACCAUUCAUCCGCAAGUACUUCAAGCCUCAAACUUUGAGGCAGCAACAAGUAAGUUGUAAUCAGUUCCUGAAAGGAGCAGUUUGCAAACUUGCAACUUGUAUUUUUGAGGUGGUACAAUUAGCAUAUGGCUGCAUCCCUGCAACCACAGUCAUAGUUUUUAUGUAUAAAGUUGGAAUAAAACAUGGAAAGAGUUUGCUGUGGUGUGUGGCCUCUAGUCAAGGAAGACCAUCUCGAAUUAUUCUGCAGCUGCCAGGUAAAUUCAGCUGAAGAGGAAGAAGCCAGAGAGAGCAAACCCAUACCUGUUCCCCUAAUGCCAACUCCAAACCUUGCAGUCCCUCAGCUAAGAAUCAGGUUUCGUUUUAAUUCAGCUGUGCAAAACCUCAACUUUGCUGUGGCUGAAGGGGGAGCGUUUUCUCUGAACAUCCUUUCCUCCCAGCUCGUCUUCAAACGAAGCGACGCUUGCAGCUGCCCGGUCAUUGUACAGCUCAGGAGCAGUUUUAAUUCUUAAUGACUUGUGCCCUUUCCCCAGCAAUACUCCUGUGUCACAGCUCCUGCGGCAUUUGUUCAAACUCAUGGGCAACUCUUUCCAGGAGGCAUACACCAGUUAUUGGUGGGCCAGGUAGGGAGGGCUGCGGUUCGAGCCAAAGUCUCCAUUUCAGAGGCCAGGCUGGUUCAGGCCAUCUGCAUGCAAAGCUUCAUUGUGGCAGGUAGCUGUAGCACUCUUCCCAUUUUUCAAAGCUAAGCUGAAAUGCUUUUUACUUAUAAUAACGAAUGAGGGGAGGAAGCAAGAUCAACUCUGUCUUUCGUACGCAAGAAUGACUAGAAUGAGGGCACUAAUGUAAAAGCCAACUUGCUAUUCACCACAGCCUAUCGUUUAUUGCUUUGCUGAGGACAACUCUGCUUAGCAGAACUGUGUAAAGCAAACCAACAGCUUUCUUCUGCGUAAGUAAUCUGUAUGACCUGCUGCUCGUCUCCGCUGGUCCAUUACAGGAGAACAGGAUUUUGAAUAGCAUAUGAGGCGUCCACAUUUAUCAGAAAAGAGCUUUUCAGAGACAACAUGCAUAAAUAGGAAUUGCAUUACAAGGAUUACAGUUUUUCUUUGUGAGGCUUCACUGUGCUGUGAUCUAUACAAGCUAUUCGACUAGUCACCCGAUUUUUCAGAGAGAUCUAGAUUUACUGCUGUCCUAGAAGUUUGGCCUAGACCAUUACUACGGACAGGACUCUCCAAUUACUUGUGGGCUCGACUUUUUCCAGUUUGUUACUGCAGAGACAUAACAAUUGUCGCGUUAUUCUUUCAACGCUAUAUUGGAGAAGCCAGUUCCAAGAGCAAUGGUCUCCUUGUAGUAGGAGGUAGAGAGACUACCUGAGACAGGUUUAAGAAUAUUACUGGAAUCGGGGUUUCAUCCAAAUAAAGGCAAAUAGUAUAUAUGCUAAUGCUGUCUAAAAUAAAGGCUCCUGGUUAAUUAAGAUCUUUGUAACAUCUUAUGGUUAUUACAAGAUUGUAAUAUGACUGCUUUGUAUUAUAUUACAUGUAAUAUAUCAUUUGUCCAAUCUUAAAUAUAUUUUCUUGUGACAUCGCAAACGCUGUUCUAGAUAAACAUAUCUACG